GCUAUUGAAAGCGUCAUAGGUCGCCGGGCGGAACCGCUCGGCGCUAAGAGGGAACCCGGUGCGCUCGGCUUUCUGCGAAGGCGAGCAAUCCCGGGGCUGCCCCCGCAACUGUAAGCAGCGAGUUGCCUGUCGAGAGCGGCCACUGGUGCAUGGCACCGGGAAGGCCAGACAGGCGACACUGACCUGCGAGCCAGGAGACCUGCCUGUGACGAGAUUAAUUC
rnacentral:ncRNA from 2 species